GUGCCUUCUAACCCAAGUGGUCCUGACCCAAGUUUCAUUCUUCACCUCUCAGGAAUCAGUUCCCCGCCAUCCGUGAAGCUCACAGCGACCCCGACAACAGAGGAGCUAUAGGAGGAAAAAAAUCAUUCUUGUUUGAAGAGGCUCCUCUACCCAGCAGCUUUUACUCAUGGUGUGUACAUUAUUGUGAUCAUCCUCCACGAAACAGUUAAUUUAUACUGUGUUUCAGUUUGUCACGGUAGAUGUCUAAGACACAGUACAGUCUGGAGAAAAUAUUCCCAGGAAAGGGUAUGGCUGUCCUACUGACAGAUUCCUAAGAAGGUCUGAGUCAGUCUGAGCUGUUUUCUACACUGGGAUGCACAUCACCAUGGCUUCAGUGAGAAUCAUCAUCACCUCAUGCAUCAGUCCUGGAGGCACUCACCUUCGCUUGUCCCAUGAAACUCCUGCCAAAGUCCUGACUGACAGGUGGAGGAGAAAGAGCACACAUGCAUGUAUGCACAUCAGCAACAAAGUGCAGAAUGCCAAGGCUAGUGUCCAUCACCACACCUGCCUGAGGACAAAGGAUUGCGUUCAUGCAGCGUUGGAGAUACUUGUGAUUCCUGAUGUGUCAUCACAUUCAAUGUAAAUCUCCGGAUUUAUGUAGUGAAGACAUUUGCAACCUUUUACACCAUUGUUCUCAAGGAAACAGUUAAACCAGGAAUGGUGGACCAGCCCCGAAAUCCCAGCACACGAAAGAAGGUAAAAGAUCAUGAGUGUGAGAACUACAGAGACCUUGUCUCAAAAUUAAAACAUGUAAUUAAGUAACUAACAAUAAAAGAAUGACAGGGCUGUCA
rnacentral:lncRNA from 1 species